UUAGUUACUAAGGUUUUAAUUGUGCUAUUUUUAGGUGAUUUGUGAAGUUGAGUUGGUUUACCUUGGUCGGUUGUGGAAUUUGCAGCGGGAGAUUUAGGUGAGUAAACCUCACCAAGGUUCACUUUUGAACCUAAGGAUAUUAUGGUUAUAUAAUGAUAAUGAUGGUGAUGUUGGUUUUAAUAUCAUGCUUUAAUUGUUUUUAAAAUUUCAUGAGCUUGAUCGCCAACGGCUCAUAGGUAAGAUAAAAACAAGUUUUCUUUAUAUUGUGAUGUUGAGAAUAAUGAUGUGAUUUAUAUAUUAUGUUGUUGAGAAUAAUAAUUGUGAUCUUGUGUUGUUGUGGAUAAUGUUGUGAAAAUUAUUGUGCUUGUUGGAUAAAUAGCCAAACCGGGUUCCAAGCCCUUUUUGGGUGAUUGGUUGCGGUUAGGAUGCUAUUUAUCAUUUUUGUAUUGAUAUUAGACAGUCAAACCGGGUUCCAAGCCUUUGGCUGGGUGAUUGGUUACGGUUAGGAAUAGAGCUCUAGUCCGUCUGUCAGUGUAGGUCAUGAGAGAUACUGUAUGGUAUCUGGGACCCAUGGGUACACAUAGUGUUGUGGUAGGUCAUGAGAGGUAUUUUAUUAAAUAUCUGGGACUCAUGGGUACAUCUCUUGGGUAAUGUGUUUGAUGUGUGGUUUGAAAUUAUUGAUCCAAUCUCUCUUGUGAAUAUUGGAUGUGAUAAAUGUUGUGUUGUUUUUUGAGUUUACUCAUACGAGCUUUUUAGCUUACCGGGUGUGUUGUUUACAACCCGGUGCACCAUUUCUUGGUGUAGGGGUUAGAUCUGCAGGUGAGGAUCAGCAGGGUUGAGAUGGAGGCGUAGUGGCAGGGUUUUAUGUUGAGUUUUGGGUGUGUCUUUGUAUAUUCUUUUAUAUACACGGGGAUAUGAAUUAUUAAACUCAUGUGAGCGUUUCCUUUCUUGUUCUCU
rnacentral:lncRNA from 1 species